rnacentral:rRNA from 1 species
CGUAACGAUGGGCCGGCAGCGGGGUGAAUGGAGGGGGUGGGAGCGUUGUCCGGAAGCGCUGGGCGUGAAGGGCGCGUAGGCGGCCUGGCAAGGCUGUGUGGAAAGCUCAGGGCUCAACGCUGAGUCGGCCAUAGAUACUGCGAGGCUCGAGUCGACUAGAGGCAGAUGGAAUUCCGGGUGUAGCGGUGGAAUGCGUAGAGAUCCGGAAGAACACCGGUGGCGAAGGCGGUCUGCUGGGGUCGAACUGACGCUGAUGCGCGACAGCGUGGGGAGCAAACAGGAUUAGAUACCCUGGUAGUC